rnacentral:piRNA from 1 species
UACACUAGCGCUUUCCCUGACUCAAGGGCA